GUAAUACGUAGGUCCCGAGCGUUGUCCGNAUUUAUUGGGCGUAAAGGGAGCGCAGGCGGUCAGGAAAGUCUGGAGUAAAAGGCUAUGGCUCAACCAUAGUGUGCUCUGGAAACUNUCUGACUUGAGUGCAGAAGGGGAGAGUGGAAUUCCAUGUGUAGCGGUGAAAUGCGUAGAUAUAUGGAGGAACACCAGUGGCGAAAGCGGCUCUNUGGUCUGUCACUGACGCUGAGGCUCGAAAGCGUGGGUAGCGAACAGGAUUAGAUACCCUGGUAGUNCACGCCGUAAACGAUGAGUGCUAGGUGUUAGGCCCUUUCCGGGGCUUAGUGCCGGAGCUAACGCAAUAAGCACUCCGCCUGGGGAGUACGACCGCAAGGUUGAAACUCAAAGGAAUUGACGGGGGCCCGCACAAGCGGUGGAGCAUGUGGUUUAAUUCGAAGCAACGCGAAGAACCUUACCAGGUCUUGACAUCCCGAUGCUAUUCUUAGAGAUAGGAAGUUACUUCGGUACAUCGGAGACAGGUGGUGCAUGGUUGUCGUCAGCUCGUGUCGUGAGCUGUUGGGUUANNNNNNGCAACGAGCGCAACCCUUAUUGUUAGUUGCCAUCAUUAAGUUGGGCACUCUAGCGAGACUGCCGGUAAUAAACCGGAGGAAGGUGGGGAUGACGUCAAAUCAUCAUGCCCCUUAUGACCUGGGCUACACACGUGCUACAAUGGUCGGUACAACGAGUUGCGAGCCGGUGACGGCAAGCUAAUCUCUGAAAGCCGAUCUCAGUUCGGAUUGGAGGCUGCAACUCGCCUCCAUGAAGUCGGAAUCGCUAGUAAUCGCGGAUCAGCACGCCGCGGUGAAUACGUUCCCGGGCCU
rnacentral:rRNA from 1 species